GACGAACGCUGGCGGCGUGCCUAAUACAUGCAAGUCGAACGCAGUGGGGACGGGUGAGUAACACGUGGGUAACCUCCCAUCAGAGGAGAUAACACUUGGAAACAGGUGCUAAACCGAUACUGAUUGAUGGACCCGCGGUGCAGUUGCUAGUUGGUGGGGUAACGGCUCACCAAGGCCACGGUGCGUCGCCGACCGGGGAGGGUGAUCGGCCACACUGGGACUGAGCCACGGCCCAGACGCCUACGGGAGGCAGCAGUAGGGAAUCUGCGGCAAUGGACGAAAGUCUGACCGAGCAACGCCGCGUGAGUGAAGAAGGUGUUCGGAGCGUAAAACUCGGUUGUGAGAGAAGCGGUAUCUAACCAGAAAGCCACGGCUAACUACGUGCCAGCAGCCGCGGUAAUUC
rnacentral:rRNA from 1 species